GGGGGGGGCAAGCGUUGUUCGGAAUUACUGGGCGUAAAGGGCGCGUAGGCGGCUCGCUAAGUCGGGUGUGAAAACUCUGGGCUCAACCCAGAGCCUGCAUUCGAAACUGACGAGCUAGAGUUCUGGAGGGGAAAGCGGAAUUCCUGGUGUAGCGGUGAAAUGCGUAGAUAUCAGGAGGAACACCGGUGGCGAAGGCGGUUUUCUGGACAGAAACUGACGCUGAUGCGCGAAAGCUAGGGGAGCAAACAGGAUUAGAUACCCUGGUAGUCCUAGCCCUAAACGAUGGAUACUUGCUGUGAGGGGGAUUGAAUCCCUUCGUGGCGAAGCUAACGCAUUAAGUAUCCCGCCUGGGGAGUACGGUCGCAAGGCUG
rnacentral:rRNA from 1 species